CGAUAAGCUGGCGGCGUGCCUAAUACAUGCAAGUCGAGCGGACAGAAGGGAGCUUGCUCCCGGAUGUUAGCGGCGGACGGGUGAGUAACACGUGGGUAACCUGCCUGUAAGACUGGGAUAACUCCGGGAAACCGGAGCUAAUACCGGAUAGUUCCUUGAACCGCAUGGUUCAAGGAUGAAAGACGGUUUCGGCUGUCACUUACAGAUGGACCCGCGGCGCAUUAGCUAGUUGGUGGGGUAAUGGCUCACCAAGGCGACGAUGCGUAGCCGACCUGAGAGGGUGAUCGGCCACACUGGGACUGAGACACGGCCCAGACUCCUACGGGAGGCAGCAGUAGGGAAUCUUCCGCAAUGGACGAAAGUCUGACGGAGCAACGCCGCGUGAGUGAUGAAGGUUUUCGGAUCGUAAAGCUCUGUUGUUAGGGAAGAACAAGUGCGAGAGUAACUGCUCGCACCUUGACGGUACCUAACCAGAAAGCCACGGCUAACUACGUGCCAGCAGCCGCGGUAAUACGUAGGUGGCAAGCGUUUGUCCGGAAUUAUUGGGCGUAAAGGGCUCGCAGGCGGUUUCUUUAGUCUGAUGUGAAAGCCCCCGCUCAACCCGGGGAGGGUCAUUUGGAAACUGGGAAACUUGAGUGCAGAAGAGAGA
rnacentral:rRNA from 1 species